ACCCGCGGCAAGACGGAAAGACCCCGUGAACCUUUACUAUAGCUUGACACUGAACAUUGAGCCUUGAUGUGUAGGAUAGGUGGGAGGCUUUGAAGUGUGGACGCCAGUCUGCAUGGAGCCGACCUUGAAAUACCACCCUUUAAUGUUUGAUGUUCUAACGUGGACCCGUAAUCCGGGUUGCGGACAGUGUCUGGUGGGUAGUUUGACUGGGGCGGUCUCCUCCUAAAGAGUAACGGAGGAGCACGAAGGUUGGCUAAUCCUGGUCGGACAUCAGGAGGUUAGUGCAAUGGCAUAAGCC
rnacentral:rRNA from 1 species